AGUGGUAGACAUCGAGCAAACAUGAAGAUUUAUCGUAGAAUAUGUUAGCACAAUUGGGUCUGAUUAAAUUUAAAUAGCUAAUGAUUUAUUUGAACAUCUCUUGCAUACAUAUGUGAGACCGUUAUAAAGCAGGAAAUUAAAAAAUAUGAUUUUACUAAGAAUAAUCAUGUUUACUUUUUAGUUGCAUGAAAACUGAAUUGGAUAAGCAGACAAAUUAAAUAGGUGGAUGGGCCUCAAAGCAUCAGAGGAAACUAUAAAAUGAGCAACACUUCUAACCUUCUGCGUCUCCCUUUACAGACAUCUCGGCCUCUUCCUUCCAUCAGUUAGCCGUCACCCUAUUUCCAGAUUUGAGGUACCAGUACCAUGGGUGACUUCCAGGCCAAGCUCUCUCAACACUUCCAGGUUUAACAUAUUCAGAUGUUGGAGGGUGGCAAAUUGAAGCACCGCCCCGCCCCGAGCAGCACGAACUCCAGCUACGCCACUGGGUUUUAGCUCAACUCAAAGGCACUGCCAUUUUUGAAAUGUUUUUUGUAGUAUUACCAAAGAAAUGUACUGUAAAUGCACCAGUGAAAUAAAAUAAAGGGUCAGUAGUGGCAUUUAAUAUCAUGCAUAUCAAGCUGUCAACAUACCGUAGCCCAAUGAGCAGCAGCUCUAGCACUGGAAAUACUCCUGGGUCUGCAGGUGGGAGGAAGGAAGGCAACACUCGGCAGGAGGAGGGCAGUGCUGUGGUGAGAGGAGAGAGUAAUUGUGGAAAAGAGAAAAUCUGUGCGUGGUACUUGCGUCCACUUCUGGAGGUACUGUGUUGAAUAAACACCCAUUUAUUUGACCCCAGGACUCUGUGUGUAUUCUUGUUUGAGGUGUGAGGCUUGCUGAAGGCCAGGAUACAUCAAUUUAUAUAUAAAUUGUGAAAAUUACCUUUUUUAAUUAAGCCUUGUUUCAGAUAGGUACAUUACAGAGAAAGCUAACAAUAUGAUAGUGUGAUGGACGGCCGGGGAUCCUGUCCGGAUGGGACGCCCUUUCCAGGAGAAGACUGGUGGAAUGGGCAUGCUGUCAGGAGUACCUUCCCUGGGACAUGAGAGGGCAGCACCCUGGGUUUACA